AUUGAACGCUGGCGGCAUGCCUUACACAUGCAAGUCGAACGGUAACGGGCCUUCGGGUGCCGACGAGUGGCGAACGGGUGAGUAGUACAUCGGAACGUGCCCGAUCGUGGGGGAUAACGAGGCGAAAGCUUUGCUAAUACCGCAUACGAUCUACGGAUGAAAGCAGGGGACCGCAAGGCCUUGCGCGGACGGAGCGGCCGCUGGCAGAUUAGGUAGUUGGUGGGUUAAAAGCUUACCAAGCCGACGAUCUGUAGCUGGUCUGAGAGGAUGAUCAGCCACACUGGGACUGAGACACGGCCCAGACUCCUACGGGAGGCAGCAGUGGGGAAUUUUGGACAAUGGGCGCAAGCCUGAUCCAGCCAUGCCGCGUGCAGGAUGAAGGCCUUCGGGUUGUAAACUGCUUUUGUACGGAACGAAAAGCCUUCUUUUAAUACAGGAGGGUCAUGACGGUACCGUAAGAAUAAGCACCGGCUAACUACGUG
rnacentral:rRNA from 1 species